UUAGAGUUUGAUUUUGGCUCAGGAUGAACGCUAGCGGCAGGCUUAACACAUGCAAGUCGAGGGGCAGCGCGAGUAGCAAUACUUGGCGGCGACCGGCGCAAGGGUGCGUAACACGUGAGUAACAUACCUGUAUCAGGGGAAUAAGCCAUGGAAACGUGGUCUAAAACCGCAUAAUAUGAACUAUAGGCAUCUAUAGAUUAUUAAAAUUACGAUGGAAACAGAUUGGCUCGCGGAACAUUAGCUAGUUGGUAAGGUAACGGCUUACCAAGGCGACGAUGUUUAGGGGUUCUGAGAGGAAGGUCCCCCACACUGGAACUGAGACACGGUCCAGACUCCUACGGGAGGCAGCAGUGAGGAAUAUUGGACAAUGGAUGGAAAUCUGAUCCAGCCAUGCCGCGUGAAGGAUAAGGUCCUAUGGAUUUUCAACUUCUUUUGUAUGGGAGCAAUAAGGUCUACGCGUAGACUGAUGAGAGUACCAUACGAAUAAGCAUCGGCUAACUCCGUGCCAGCAGCCGCGGUAAUACGGAGGAUGCAAGCGUUAUCCGGAUUUAUUGGGUUUAAGGGGUGCGUAGGCGGAAGGAUAAGUCAGCGGUGAAACGUACGGGCUCAACCCGUGAACUGCCGUUGAAACUGUUCAUCUGGAAUGCGGAUGCUGUGGGAGGAAUGUGUAGUGUAGCGGUGAAAUGCAUAGAUAUUACACAGAACACCGAUUGCGAAGGCAUCUCACAAAACCGCGAUUGACGCUGAGGCACGAAAGUGUGGGGAUCGAACAGGAUUAGAUACCCUGGUAGUCCACACAGUAA
rnacentral:rRNA from 1 species